rnacentral:rRNA from 1 species
GAUGAACGCUGGCGGCGUGCCUAAUACAUGCAAGUCGAGCGAACAGAUGAGGAGCUUGCUCCUCUGACGUUAGCGGCGGACGGGUGGGUAACACGUGGAUAACCUACCUAUAAUACUGGGAUAACUUCGGGAAACCGGAGCUAAUACCGGAUAAUAUAUUGAACCGCAUGGUUCAAUAGUGAAAGACGGUUUUGCUGUCACUUAUAGAUGGAUCCGCGCCGCAUUAGCUAGUUGGUAAGGUAACGGCUUACCAAGGCAACGAUGCGUAGCCGACCUGAGAGGGUGAUCGGCCACACUGGAACUGAGACACGGUCCAGACUCCUACGGGAGGCAGCAGUAGGGAAUCUUCCGCAAUGGGCGAAAGCCUGACGGAGCAACGCCGCGUGAGUGAUGAAGGUCUUCGGAUCGUAAAACUCUGUUAUUAGGGAAGAACAAAUGUGUAAGUAACUAUGCACGUCUUGACGGUACCUAAUCAGAAAGCCACGGCUAACUACGUG